rnacentral:rRNA from 1 species
GACGAACGCUGGCGGCGUGCUUAACACAUGCAAGUCGAACGGUAAGGCCCUUCGGGGUACACGAGUGGCGAACGGGUGAGUAACACGUGGGUGAUCUGCCCUGCACUUCGGGAUAAGCCUGGGAAACUGGGUCUAAUACCGGAUAGGACCACUGCCUGCAUGGGUGGUGGUGGAAAGCUUUUGUGGUGUGUGUGGAUGGGCCCGCGGCCUAUCAGCUUGUUGGUGGGGUGGUGGCCUACCAAGGCGACGACGGGUAGCCGGCCUGAGAGGGUGACCGGCCACAGUGGGACUUAGAUGCGGCCCAGACUCCGAGGGGAGGCAGCAGUGGGGAAUAUUGCACAAAGGGCGCAAGCCUGAUGCAGCGACGCCGCGUGAGGGAUGACGGCGUUCGGGUUGUAGACCUCUUUCAGCACCGACGAAGCGCAAGUGAGGGUAGGUGCAGAAGAAGGACCGGCCAACUACGUGCCAGCCGCCGCCGUAA